UCUAAGCUAUAUGGCUAUGUAUAAGUGCGC
rnacentral:piRNA from 1 species